rnacentral:rRNA from 1 species
AGCGAACGCUGGCGGCAGGCCUAACACAUGCAAGUCGAACGGAUCCUUCGGGAUUAGUGGCGGACGGGUGAGUAACACGUGGGAACGUGCCCUUUGGUUCGGAACAACUCAGGGAAACUUGAGCUAAUACCGGAUGUGCCCUUCGGGGGAAAGAUUUAUCGCCAUUGGAGCGGCCCGCGUCUGAUUAGCUAGUUGGUGAGGUAAAGGCUCACCAAGGCGACGAUCAGUAGCUGGUCUGAGAGGAUGAUCAGCCACAUUGGGACUGGGACCCGGACCAAACUCCGACGGGAGGCAGCAGUGGGGAAUCUUGCGCAAUGGGCGAAAGCCUGACGCAGCCAUGCCGCGUGAAUGAUGAAGGUCUUAGGAUUGUAAGAUUCUUUCACCGGGGACGAUAAUGACGGUACCCGGAGAAGAAGCCCCGGCUAACUUCGUGCCAGCCGCCGCCGUAAAAC